GAUGAACGCUGGCGGCGUGCCUAAUACAUGCAAGUCGAGCGAACAGACGAGGAGCUUGCUCCUCUGACGUUAGCGGCGGACGGGUGAGUAACACGUGGAUAACCUACCUAUAAGAAUGGGAUAACUUCGGGAAACCGGAGCUAAUACCGGAUAAGAUAUUGAACCGCAUGGUUCAAUAGUGAAAGACGGGUUUGCUGUCACUUAUAGAUGGAUCCGCGCCGCAUUAGCAAGUUGGUAAGGUAACGGCUUACCAAGGCAACGAUGCGUAGCCGACCUGGGAGGGUGCUCGGCCACACGGGACCUGAGCCACGGUCCAGCCUCCGACGGGAGGCAGCAGUAGGGAAUCUUCCGCAAUGGGCGAAAGCCUGACGGAGCAACGCCGCGUGAGUGAUGAAGGUCUUCGGAUCGUAAAACUCUGUUAUUAGGGAAGAACAAAUGUGUAAGUAACUAUGCUCGUCUUGCCGGUACCUAAGCAGAAAGCCACGGCUAACUCCGU
rnacentral:rRNA from 1 species